rnacentral:sRNA from 1 species
AAGAAGAAAGCUUCGUC